UGAAAAAAAAAAUCCAGAGAGCAGCAACUUAUCAGAAAGUGUAGAGACAGAAUCUCACAGCAGAUCAGCAUGAUGGCGCAAGAGCUGGAGCUUUCGGAAUACACCACUAUAAACUCUCUUCAGGGAACCGAAGCUGAAACUAAAACUAAACCAUCAGAGAGAAGACUCCUCCGAAUCGGGGUGGUAACCUUAGCAGUGCUGUGUGUUUUACAGGCCAUCCUUAAUGUCUCACUGCGUCUUGCCUUGUAUUCAAAAGAAGAUUCAGUUCAGUUUCCAUUCAAUUUGUCCAUACUAGCAGAUUUGUGUGAGAUUCCCGAGCCUGGACAGAAUCUAACCCAGGGAUGUUCCUGCUGCAAGAAGCAGCUGAGGAGACUAGUGAAGGAAUAUGAAGCCUUGGAGACAGAGAGACACCGCUUACUGGAAAUAGUCGAUCAGCUUGAAGGCAACUCUGGCUCUGGCUCUGGUUCAGAGUAUGAGUACUUUUGAUAUGCUCAACUGAAGCUGAUGUUCAGUGCAGACCACAUUCACAACAAGACUAAGACAUGCAAUAGCUAUUUGUCCAAUGUUUUAUCUGUUAAACACCUGAUCAGCUGAAAGGAUAACAUGCAACAUCAAUCAUCAAAUGUGGCUGGAGGCUUUUUCUUUUUAAAAGAGCUAUUUGUGUGUUUUGCUAUUGUUACAUGGCCAAAGUUAUCAUCAAAAACUGUUUCAACCUAGAAGAAACAUUGUUCAGCAUCAAACUUCACUCCUUUACCCAGAAAGCAUCGCCAAUGUUCACUCUUGUUUUACUUCUAUUUCUAUCACUUCUUUGCAAUGAACCCCAGCUAACCUCAGCCCAACCAGCCCGUCUUAUCACUUGUGGGAUAACAAGUCACUGUAGUGUCCAAACCGCCCUCUUGUAAACACAACUUGAAGUGUUAUCUCGUCAUUUGUAUGUUGUCACGUAUUUUUACUUAUUUUAUCAGACAUAAAAAGUAUUUAGAGGAGCCCCUAAGUGGUAACACACCCCUGGUUGAAGACCUUGGGUUUAAAGCUUCUACAGUCAAUGUUUUGUAUAAUGAAUCAAAUUAUUAUGUGUAUGUGAAAAAGGACACAUUUAGUGACAAACUGAAAAUCAACACCCAGUUCUGUAGUUCCCUUCAGCUCUCUUCAGCCUUUUGACUUCUUUCAAUUCAUUGAUUUGUUUAUUUUAGUAGUUUUCAGACUUAUGGGUCUCAUCUGUGCAGAUGCUCUGUUAAUAUCCAUAUAGUAUAUAUAUGUUCUUCCAUAGAUGCUGGUUGUGUACAUUUGCUAAUCAGAGAGGGAGAAACUGUCUCAAUCCAAUACAAACCUACUGACACAAUAUAGCAAUACACAGAGAAAUUAUUGAGGGUAAUGCAGUACUGGAAACCACCUAGAAAACUCACACUCACUGCUGGUAAUAAAAAAAGAUAAGCCUGUUGUGGAUGAAAGCAACCAAGGAGUGGGUUUAAAGUGACAGUAAAAUAAAUGGUAAUAAUGCACAUCAGGACAUUGCACCACAAUGCACUACCCUGGUGAUGGAUACAAGUUCAAAUAAACAUUUUAGUAAAUACUUUUGUGAUAGUAUUUUAUAUAUUAUAUAUAGAGAGAUUUUCAAAAUUCCAUUUGUUGUCACACAAUUGAAAUCUUGCAUUGUAAAAGGAUAUUACUUUUAAUUGUGAGCAUUUUUUCACACAUCAGAAGGCUGCUUCCCAUGGUGAUAGACAUAUUUAGACAUUAGACACGAGACAGCGAGAAGUAUGGCUUUAUCUGUGGCUUCACAUCCUGUUCAAGAUUUUGCAGACGUCGACAAACCUGCACCCUGACCAGUGUAGCAGUGUCACACAACAUACUGUGUAACAUAUUGUGUACGACCACACUCUUCCCAAAAACAACCCCUGCACACACAAACAGAGACAUUUUGUUAUGGAGCUAGCCUUAACUUUUUUAUCUGAAUAUUAAAACAAGGCUUUUCUAUUCUUUUAUAGAGCUUUCAUAUCAAAAAGGAUUCAGCUUAAAGUCAUUCAUCAUGUUUUUUGUUGUUGUCUGACCUUUAAACUUGAAUAUAAAUUAGUAAGAAACAGAAACAUUAGAAUUCUAUGUUGCAAAUCUGAGGUUUGUAGAAAUGAAAUUGCAAUGUAGUUUUACUUGCUGCCAAUAUUGAAAUAAUUCUGUAAAGUGUAUAUUUUCACACUGGAGGACAGUCCUUUUGGGACUCAAUAAUGUUAACUUUGUCAACAAACUUGUGACAGAUAAGAGAGCUGCAGGACAUUCACUCAUCAUUUCUCAUUAACACUGCCGGCUUUGUUUUAAUUAGACGUUGUGACUGACACUUGUGUUCCUGCAUGUGACACUGAAUUCCAGGCUCCAGUUAUCCUCCUUCCCAGCUGCUGUUUGCUAAUCAUCCCAAACUUGUCUGUUGUCUCUAUUUGUCAAAAUAGAACCACUCUCUGUUUGGUGUCCCUCGGUGGCAGCAAGAGAUAAACGUUUGAUUUUCUUUUUCUUUCAGCUUAAUGACUUUGCUGCACAGAAAAUGUAUGAUGUGUCUGCUAAAUAAAAGAAAAUUGUGUCUGUAUGUGACUUGAAA